UCAGCUUUGUGGUUAAAUAACUGACUCAACACCGGAACAGAUUCUAUGAAGCUUUAUGUGCGGUGGCGGAAACCUUUCAGCCUCCUCAGGCACCUUACAGCAAUCCAGUUAUUACAUAAACAGCGAUCUCAAGGGUAACUUUUCUUUCCCCCUGGACACCCCAGGCUACAUAAAGCGCCUGCCUUGCUGCCUCCUCCCCACUGCGGCGAAGCAAUCUCAUUGGAGGACUGCAAAAGUCACGGGUUGACAAUCAGGUCUACAGCAUGAAGGAUUCUAACUGUU